rnacentral:rRNA from 2 species
UUCGGUUCCCACAGCACUAAUGCACUGGAUCCUAUCACAUCUCCGCAGCUAAGCGUGCUUGGACGAGAGUAGUACUAGGAUGGGUGACCUCCCGGGAAGUCCUCAUGUUUCACCCAUU